rnacentral:rRNA from 1 species
UACAGAGGGUGCGAGCGUUGUCCGGAAUCACUGGGCGUAAAGGGCGCGUAGGCGGCGCGACAAGUCACUUGUGAAAUCUCCGGGCUUAACUCGGAGCGGCCAAGUGAUACUGUCGUGCUAGAGUGCGGAAGGGGCAACUGGAAUUCUCGGUGUAGCGGUGAAAUGCGUAGAUAUCGAGAGGAACACCUGCGGCGAAGGCGGGUUGCUGGGCCGACACUGACGCUGAAGCGCGAAAGCCAGGGGAGCGAACGGG